GGGGCGGUUGAUGUCUGGCGAGGACGUGGGUGGUGAUUUGGGGGUGGGUGGUGAUGGAAGGGUGAGCACGGCAAGGGCCCAUUUAUAACAUGCUGAAGGCUCCGCACCGGCUUAAUCCGGCACUGCCUACGUCUAUCAAAACCGGGCGGAUUACUGCAAUGAAGUUCAACGCAAUACGACAAACAUCUCGUUACAAUCCAAUCCCUGCGAUGCCAGGUAGCGAGUAAGUACAUUUAUAAAUGCGCAACUCUUAUCACCUUGGUUAGCACGGGUGCGCAGUAUUCAUACGUUGUAAGCUCUAUUACCAAGCUCUUGUAUUUUCUACUGAACUGGUUGAGUUCCAGGCCGAUGGACCGCUGAGUUGGUGAGUGGUUUACAACACGUGUCUAUACGAAUAGUGCCCAGCUCACUCUGCAUUGGUGUACAACACGUGUCUAUACGAACAGUGCCCAGCUCACUCUACACUGGUGAACAACACGUGUCUAUACGAACAGUGCCCAGCUCACUCUACACUGGUGUACAACACGUGUCUAUACGAAUAGUGCCCAGCUCACUCUACACUGGUGUACAACACGUGUCUAUACGAACAGUGCCCAGCUCACUCUACACUGGUGAACAACACGUGUCUAUACGAACAGUGCCCAGCUCACUCUGCAUUGGUGUACAACACGUGUCUAUACGAACAGUGCCCAGCUCACUCUACACUGGUGAACAACACGUGUCUAUACGAACAGUGCCCAGCUCACUCUACACUGGUGAACAACACGUGUCUAUACGAACAGUGCCCAGCUCACUCUACACUGGUGUACAACACGUGUCUAUACGAACAGUGCCCAGCUCACUCUACACUGGUGUACAACACGUGUCUGUACGAACAGUGCCCAGCUCACUCUACACGGGUGUACAACACGUGUCUAUACGAACAGUGCCCAGCUCACGCUACACUAUUUGACCAAACAUCACUGUGCCUUAACGAAUGAGUUCCGACGGAAUCGGGUGCAAUUCCGGAUGAUUUAGUCAUAGGAUGCAUCACUUAAUGACAGCCGUAAAACCACGCUGCCGCCAGGCCAUGGAUUGGGCGACCAGCAUGCUGCACGCCAGGUUUUUGUAGACAGCAGAGGGGAACCGAGGCAAAAUCCAUUACUGUACUGUACGUCUAUGCUCCCUGCCUUCACCAAAACCGCAUUGACCAUCGUGGGUUAAGCUCGGUCGGUUAACCCCCGCCACUCUCACGGCACGGAGGCCCUCAUGCAGCAUGGGAUUGGCAAAUGGCCGUGUACGAAAAGCUAAUAUACCAAGCAAUCGCCCUGCUACAGAAUUGAAUGCUGACUCCUGUAUUGCUGAUGCAUAUUCAUUACAGACUCCUAUAGUGCAGACUUUGCCUUUUAACGAACUUUUUGUAUGUCUUCAUUGCUUGUUUUACCAAAACAAACUGGAGUUACUCAUCUUUAGGUUAUGUAAAGUUACUACUCUACGGGCCAUGGACUUCAGUCUGAGCUCUACAAAUCACUCUCCAUAUAUCUUACCUGUCGAUACAUAUAGCAGACUUUUGUUCCAUGCAAACAAUUGUAAACACCGUAUUUGUCAAUUUGAAAAUACUGUAUCUCCUUUUACAAUCUCGGUGUCCAUCUAAAUGAGUGGAGGCGCUCAUCCUCGAUGAGCACGGUUGGCUUCGUAAGGUACGAAGGAAGUUCAACACACAUACAGAUCCUUUGUUUACUCCUUAGCCGGUGGGAGAUAUUUCCACAUUCCUACAAUAAUGGAGGGGAGAAAUGUCAGUCAUGUUCUGACUGGUACCAAAAUUGCCGAUGGAAGUUUAAAGGCCAGCAAAAACUGGUUGGUGGACAUAAAAAAUGCCAGUAUGAGAACGCAUGGGGUUAACUUUAAAAAAACAAUUACAAAGCCCUUUGCGUCCAUCUGCAUCACAAUGUUUAAGUCAAUCGGUGCGUUAACAUUAUUUAUUAUAUUCUUGCGUGUGAUGGCAAAUAUUCUCAGGAGCUAAAUGUCAAUGUCUGCUGCUGGCCACGAGAGAGAAAAUCGUAGAAGAGAGUUCGUGGUUUUGCAAUUCCUCCUUUGAAGGAGCGCAGACCAGUGGCUUAGUGUGUGGUCCAAAGUUUGGGUUGCAUGGCCACAGUGGCACUACUGUGGCUUGUCUUUAAUUUUCCAUUCAUGAAGGUGUGCGCAUCGGCAACCUGUUGUUGUGAAGCAGAUGAUGUUUAUGCCACCAGUGUCUUCGACGAGAAAUUUCAACGCUUAGGAGGUGCGCGAUGUUUGGGUCUCGAAUGCGAUGUUUGUUCUGGACGUCCGCGUUGUUCCACUUUUUUCCAGCGUUCUUCCGGAUCCGAGUGAGAUUCCAGGAUGACGACAGCGCGAUCCCAUGAAGGGGAUCGGGACUUGGGUGGGAGAUGGGAGCUUUCUUGCGGCUCACCUGUCACCUGUCACGUGUUCUCGUGCUAUUUAGUGUCAUGAGUGUUUUAGCGUUACCUACUUAUAGGCAAAAUGGGUGUUGUUCAUUUGAAACCAGAUACAAUCAGUAGAACAUUUUUAAAGCUUUCUCCAUGUACGCAUUCGCUGUCUGUGCGUUAAUUCGUAAACGUGAAUGGGCACUUAAUGUAAAGUUGUGUUGCUGUUAUAGGGAUUGAAAAACUAGCCACAUUGAUCAGAACAUGUCAUAGGCGACGAUUAUGUCAAUGGCCUUUGUUCACAGCAGCACAGAGGCUAGAGUUCGAGUGGCCUGUGUCACCUCCCUGACAUCUCUAUGUGCUGUGAAGAAUGCCCUUUCUUGAAGAAUGACCAUUCUUCACAGCACAUUGAAGGGUCAGAGUGUUAUGGUGACCUCUCACUCUACCUCUCUGAGCUCUCUAUCGGCCGUAAAUACAGGCCAUUGCACGAAACGUUAACUGAUCCAUACUUUUUUUAAGGCUGUGUUAUUGACAAAUGUUUUGUUGUUGUUUGUUACUUGUACUUCUGCAUCACAGACAACGCAGAAUCACCAACAAAAUCUGUCGACAACUGAUUAAAAGGCUCGUCCUGCCACAAGAACUCCAGCCACUAAUUAUUGAGCCACGUGUGGUAAUUAUAUCAGGCUUUCCAUUCAAAAUUAAGCCACCGUUGGCUGCCAUAGUGUGAAAUAUAAUCGCUUUGAAAGUCAACACCGUUCCACAGAACAAUGCCACACAAACGUGUUAUUUACAUCAUUAGACGCCUUUUGGCGUCAUGUGGUCGAGCACCAAUUGGGUCGAGGCUCAAAAGAAAGCCGUCCCUUGGUGUGGACCAAUCAGUUUCAAGGACAAUGCAUACAUUAUCAUAGUGUGUUUUUUGUUUGCAUUUUGACUGCAGGUAUUGUGGUUAAUGCAGACAUGAAUCCUUGUAAAAAGGUUUCAGUUUUGUUGCCAGAAAAAAGGGGAAAAACCCUAUUAUUAAACGUGUUAUUGUUUAUGCGGUUUUAUGCAUCAGGGAGUGCGUUGCAUUGAGAACAUUGUUGACAAAGUAGACUAUCCACGGAUCAUUCUUCUAAAACAUAUAUCUAACUAACCAAGGAGAUGGAGAAAUAAAAUCAGUCCGUUUAUAGAUGCGAGAUGGAUUAUUACAGAACAGAAUUGUAAAAGGGUGGUGGCAACUUGGGAAGGGCUUCAACCAGCAGUGGAAUGACCAUGGUCGAUGAUGUUAAUGUCGCUGUUCCAUAAAGCAUUAACUGACAAACUAACUAUGGCAAGGUACGAGGUAUUCAGAGUCUCUUUGCACUCAGUAAAGGACCACUGUUUAAUACUCCAAUGUCUCCCUUGAUGGAGUGACAAUGUCUUGAAAUGACAAUGUGCUGACUUGAAUCCAAUUGUAACGAUGUAUUAAUUGAUGCUAAUUUGUUGAAGGUUUAAGCAUAAUGCAUUGCGUCUGAAAGGUUCUUCUUCAUCCUCUUCACUGUCAUCAUCAUUCUCAUCAUCGUCGUCAUCGUCGAGAUCAUCAUUGUCGUCAUCAUCACUCUCUUCAUAAUCAUCUUCAUCGCUGCUGUCUUCAUGUUGCGAUGCCUCGACCUCUAGCGAAAGCAGAUAACGCACACACAGUGUCAGAAAAUAAAUGCAGCAAGACACAGAUUCCUAUACAAUGAAUAAAUGCAGAACAAUGUGCAGCGUGUAUAAUUCGGAAAUGUGUUGUCUGCUGACCGACAGGUAUUCUGAGACAGUGUGUCUUAGUCGUGGUGUUUGUGUAAUUAAAGGCAACCCCUUGAC